UACGGGGGGAGCAAGCGUUGUUCGGAUUUACUGGGCGUAAAGGGCGCGUAGGCGGCCAGUUUAGUCAGAGGUGAAAGCCCAGGGCUCAACCUUGGAAUUGCCUUUGAUACUGGCUGUCUUGAGUUCGGGAGAGGUGAGUGGAAUGCCGAGUGUAGAGGUGAAAUUCGUAGAUAUUCGGCGGAACACCAGUGGCGAAGGCGACUCACUGGCCCGAUACUGACGCUGAGGCGCGAAAGCGUGGGGAGCAAACAGG
rnacentral:rRNA from 1 species